rnacentral:lncRNA from 1 species
CUCAGAUACAUUUUUGAAACAGUAAUAUGUAAUACAAACAUAAUACAUUUUUAGAGCUGUAAUCACUAAUAUAGAAUAUAAUACAAUUUUUAAGUAACUUGCCCAACACUGAUAAAGAUAAAACGGAAACCCUCUCUGGUUCUACUGAAAUGACUGAAGAGAUUAUCUGAUCGAUGUUGUAAUCAGUAAAAGUUUCCUGUUUUGAACGUUUCAUCUGUAGAUUCGUCACGCUGCUGCUAAUGUGCUUCGAGAGUGCUGGCUGCUGCACCGCACCAACCUGAGCCAGGCCAACUGCAGGGAGCGCCGCAGGCAUCAGCGCUGUCUCCUGGAGGCCAUCCGAGUGUUUCGCCAUUUACGACUCAAACAGAGAAAACUGAGAGACUAUGCCAGUGAAAUGGUGGAUUUACCAAAGAUGCAAAUGAUCAUGUGUGAUCUUAGUGCUAACUGGAAUAACUCUUAUCGGGAGCUGGAGCAGCGGAUCCUGUCCAUGGAGCAGAAGUUGGAUGAGCUCAACCACUGCUUCCAACAGACGUCCGAACUGCUUUCUCUUUUCCUCCGCCAGCGCACACCGGAGAUCAGGUAAACUGCUCUCAUUGUAGGAAAUGGAAACCAAAAGUCUGUGGUACUGAGUGUAUUUCUUAAAUUUCAGGUGACAUGGGUGACAAUGUCUUUGGCAGACUUCACUUACUCUAAGAAUGAGUGAGAAAACCUCAGCACACGGGCUGUAGACUCUGAACAUGCUGAACCACUUGAAAGACUGGCACCACGACCAAAGAUCUCAUCUUCUGGCCCCGUGUUGAGCACACAGCACCAUGACUCACCCCUGUAAAAUUACACAGAGAAUGAUGAAGGGAUCAUGGGGCAUUUGAUCAAUUUGGUGUGUGUUUUUAAUCAGUUGUUCAAAGUUUUUGUGACUAAGCAAAACCAUUGUUGAGAACUGGCCUCUGCCGUCAGUUUUUGAGAUUUGGGAAGCUUCAGGCUCCACAAGCGAUUCUGUCUCUACCAUAUUCCCAUGGAAUAAUACUUUUUUCUUUUCUAUUUUUACAUUGUACGGAAUAUUUUACAUUUUUAUCUGUUGAACAGCGUUACCGAUUUGGGUCAAGAUUCACUCAUUAGAUCUGUAAUGCAGGCAAUGCAGAAGGUUAAAAAUAUGUCUUAACAACAUUAAAACUGUCAAAAAGGUCACGUUUGCAUCUGCUCCAUC